AGUGAACGCUGGCGGUAGGCCUAACACAUGCAAGUCAAACGGCAGCACAGUAAGAGCUUGCUCUUACGGGUGGCGAGUGGCGGACGGGUGAGGAAUACAUCGGAAUCUACUUUUUCGUGGGGGAUAACGUAGGGAAACUUACGCUAAUACCGCAUACGACCUACGGGUGAAAGCAGGGGAUCUUCGGACCUUGCGCGAUUGAAUGAACCGAUGUCGGAUUAGCUAGUUGGCGGGGUAAAGGCCCACCAAGGCGACGAUCCGUAGCUGGUCUGAGAGGAUGAUCAGCCACACUGGAACUGAGACACGGUCCAGACUCCUACGGGAGGCAGCAGUGGGGAAUAUUGGACAAUGGGCGCAAGCCUGAUCCAGCCAUACCGCGUGGGUGAAGAAGGCCUUCGGGUUGUAAAGCCCUUUUGUUGGGAAAGAAAAGCAGCAGGUUAAUACCCCGCUGUUCUGACGGUACCCAAAGAAUAAGCACCGGCUAACUUCGUG
rnacentral:rRNA from 1 species